AGGACGAACGCUGGCGGCGUGCCUAACACAUGCAAGUCGAACGGGGGUAGCAAUACCCCAGUGGCGAACGGGUGCGUAACACGUGAAGAACUUGUCCAUCGGCGGGGGAUAGCCGGCCCAACGGCCGGGUAAUACCGCGUACGCCGUCUGAAGCGCAUGCUUCGGCCGGGAAAGCAGCAAUGCACCGAUGGAGAGCUUCGCGGCCUAUCAGCUAGUUGGCGGGGUAAUGGCCCACCAAGGCGACGACGGGUAGCUGGUCUGAGAGGAUGACCAGCCACAUUGGGACUGAGACACGGCCCAGACUCCUACGGGAGGCAGCAGUGGGGAAUAUUGCGCAAUGGGGGAAACCCUGACGCAGCGACGCCGCGUGUGGGAUGACGGCCUUCGGGUUGUAAACCACUGUCGCGAGGGACGAAAAAAUGACGGUACCGUCGAAAGGAAGCACCGGCUAACUCUGUGCCAGCAGCCGC
rnacentral:rRNA from 1 species